rnacentral:tmRNA from 2 species
GGGGCCGUAAUGGUUUCGACAGGCUAGCGAACGCCGAACCGUGAUUCAGGUCGAGAGUGAGCCGUCUCUCGUAAAUCCCAGGUUCAAAACAAAAUGUAACUGCGAACAACAUCGUUCCUUUUGCUCGUAAAGCUGCACCUGUUGCUGCCUAAUAAAAACCUCUCAUAGGUUUCGAGCGUCUGUAGUUUGACUCCGUUAAGGGCUACAGACACAACCCCAACGGAUGCUCCUAACUUGUUCCUCUAGCAGCAAGUUGGGCUAAGACUUCGCUAGAGCAUCCCACCGUCAGGGAUAAUCGACGGUUCCCGCCCUGAGGAUCAGAGGGGCUAAACCUGUGAAUGAACGAUAGGUCAAUACCUGGUUUGGACAGCAGUUCGACUCUGCUCGGCUCCAUGC